AUUCUCAGUUCGGAUUGUAGGCUGAAACUCGCCUACAUGAAGCUGGAGUUACUAGUAAUCGCAGAUCAGAAUGCUGCGGUGAAUGCGUUCCCGGGUCCUGUACACACCGCCCGUCACACCACGGAAGUUGGGGGCGCCCGAAGCCACUUAGCUAACCCUUUUGGGAAGCGAGUGUCGAAGGUGAAAUCAAUAACUGGGGUGAAGUCGUAACAAGGUAGC
rnacentral:rRNA from 1 species